rnacentral:misc_RNA from 1 species
UCUCCCGCAAGGGAGCAGUCUCGCCUGACCUAAAAAGGUAACAGACAACGAGGGUUGCGUUCGUUACCCCACUGAAGGGAACAGUUCAAACCACGAACUGACGACGACCAUGCAUCACCUGUCCAGCACCCUCGAAGGCUCCUCGACUUUCAUCAAGGAUGCAGCUGGAUUUCUAACCUUGGUAAGGUUCUUCGUUAGUCAUCGAAUUGAGCCACAUAAUCCACCGCUUGUGCGAGUCCCCGUCUAUUCCUUUGAGUUUUAAGCUUGCGCUCGUACUACCCAGGCGGCUUGCUUAUCGCGUUAGCUUAGUCUCGCAGAGGGUCGAUACUCCGCGAAACGAGCAAGCAGCGUUGAGGGCCAGGACUAC